AUGAACGACCUCAUGACCAAGUCCUUCAUGAGCUACGUCGACCUGAAGAAGGCGGCCAUGAAGGACCUCGAGGCGGGCGGCGACGAGACCGAGCUCACCCAGGCCGGCGGCGGCGGCGCCACCGACGAGCGCCUCAAGGGCUUCUUCAAGGAGGCGGAGGCGGUCCGCGAGGAGAUGGCGGCCAUCCGCGACGCGCUCGCCCGCCUCCACGCCGCCAACGAGGAGGGCAAGUCGCUGCACCAGCCCGACGCGCUGCGCGCCAUGCGGGUCCGCGUCAACGCCGACAUCGUCGCCGUGCUCGGCCGCGCGCGCGGGAUCCAGCGCGCGCUCGCGGACAUGGACGCCGCCAACGCCGCGCAGCGCAGGCUCUCCGCGGGCUGCCAGGAGGGCACCACGCUCGACCGCACCCGCACCUCCGUCACCGCGGGCCUCCGGAAGAAGCUCAAGGACAUCAUGAACGACUUCCAGGCGCUGCGCCAGCGGAUGAUGUCCGAGUACAAGGACACCGUCGAGCGCCGCUACUACACGCUCACCGGGGAGGUCCCCGAGGACGAGGUCAUCGAGCGCAUCAUCUCCGAGGGCCGCGGCGAGGAGAUCAUGAGCGCCGCCGUCGCCGAGCACGGCAAGGGGGCCGUGCUCGCCGCGCUCAACGAGAUCCAGGACCGCCACGACGCCGCCAGGGAGGUGGAGCGCAGCCUCCUCGAGCUCCACCAGGUGUUUGUCGACAUGGCCGUCGUCGUGGAGUCGCAGGGGGAGAAGAUCAACGACAUCGCGCACCACGUGAGCAACGCCAGGGACUACGUCCACUCCGGCAACAAGGAGCUCGGCAAGGCCCGCGAGCACCAGCGCGGCAGCCGCAAGUGCCUCUGCAUCGGCAUCAUCCUGCUGCUGCUCCUCAUCCUCAUCGUCAUUGUCCCCAUCGCCACCAGCCUCAAGAGGUCCUGA
rnacentral:rRNA from 1 species